rnacentral:lncRNA from 1 species
CAGCUACUCAGGAGGCUGAGGUGGGAGAAUCAGCUGAGCCCGGGAAGUAAGCUGAGAUUGCGCCACUGCACUCCAUCCUGGGUGAUGGGGUGUGAAACCCUGUCUCAAAACACACCGUGCCCAGCCUUUUUCUACUCCUUAGUGUUUUUUUCUUCCCCACUCUGUCCUGUUUUAUGAGCUGACUCUGUGCAGGGCACAAGGGAUGAGGCUGCCUCUUAUCACACUGCAGCCCCUUGGCUGUUUACCUUUCUACUUGUUUACCUUUUAUUUUGUCAACUGUCAGAGAUCUGAGGAACCAAAAGUCCUGAAAAGAUGGUCACCUUACUCCAGGGAAGGAGAGGGUUUGUCCUGUUCAGACCCUGGAAAGGGAAGGUGCCAUUUCAGGCUUUCAUGUUCUCAGCUCCCACAGCAUCUUCCUCCCAGUAACGCUUUUCUCUGGAACACAGUUUUUCAUAAUAACUUCUAUGUACAAAAUCUUUGAUCCUCAAUCAAAAGACACGGGAUCAGCUCUGGCUUUGCCACUUACAAGCGUGACUUUCCACAGAUGAGACUGCUCUGAGAUUGUUUCUUCAUCUGUAGAGUGGAUGGCACAUGGGCUACUUGAAAGGGAUAUGAUACAGAUCAAGAGAGGAUAUAUGGGAGCACUUUGUACAAGUGUAUAAAUAGCAGAGGGAUUGACGUCAUCGUCAUCUCAAUCUUAAAGAUUAGGAGACAAACUCAGGGAAGUGCGUAGUGACUUGCCCAGGUUCUCCUAGCGAGUACAUAGUAAGCUGGAAUGUGAAUGCAGGUGUGAGAUUCCAAGUCGUGGCUCUUUUUCCUAUCCCUCUCUGCCUUGGAUGCUUGGUGCAGGAAGAAGCUUGCCUUGGGUAUGGAAGGGUUGUCCCUGUGCUCCUCAUUGAGACCCAUGUGGAUCCUUAGUGACUGGUCCAAUAGGGAGCUGGGGUUGGCUUUCUCUUUUGCAGAGACAGGAUAGUGUGGCAGCCCAUUUCAUUCGCUGGGUUAUUUAUUAAGUGCCUUUUAUGUGUCAAGCCCUGGAGAUCUCACAAUGCUGUCCCUCAGGGAGCUUCAGUUUAGAAGAUCUAAUUGUUGGUGCCCAUUUCCCCUGGACCUGUUGGGUAAUUUCCUCUGACUUUCAAGUCUCAUUUCCCUCUUCAGUUCAGAAGUCUAAG